rnacentral:rRNA from 1 species
GACGAACGCUGACGGUGUGCUUUAGACAUGCAAGUCGAACGAGAAAGCCCUUCGGGGUUAGUAAAGUGGGCGAACGGGUGAGUAACACGUGGGCAAUCUGCCCCUCGCAGGGGGACAACCGGAGGAAACCCCGGCUAAGUACCCCGUAAGGUUCAAAGGGAGGCAUCUCCCCUUGAAGAAAGGGUAGCUUCGGCCAUCCGGCGAGGGAUGAGCCCGCGGUGCAUUAGCUAGUUGGUGGGGUAACGGCCCACCAAGGCGACGAUGCAUAGCUGGUCUGAGAGGAUGAUCAGCCACACGUGGGACUGAGACACGGCCCAGACUCC